UACGGAGGGUGCAAGCGUUAUCCGGAUUCACUGGGCGUAAAGCGCGCGUAGGCGGCCUUCUAAGUCGAACGUGAAAUCCCCGGGCUCAACCCGGGAACUGCGUCCGAUACUGGAAGGCUUGAAUCCGGGAGAGGGAUGCGGAAUUCCAGGUGUAGCGGUGAAAUGCGUAGAUAUCUGGAGGAACACCGGUGGCGAAGGCGGCAUCCUGGACCGGUAUUGACGCUGAGGCGCGAAACCCAGGGGAGCAAACGGG
rnacentral:rRNA from 1 species